rnacentral:sRNA from 2 species
AUAUCAAUAAGCGGAGGAAAAGAAACCAACAGGGAUUGCCCUAGUAACGGCGAGUGAAGCGGCAACAGCUCAAAUUUGAAAUCGGCCCCCCGGUCGAGUUGUAAUUUGCAGAGGAUGCUUCUGGGCAGCGGCCGGUCUAAGUUCCUUGGAACAGGACGUCAUAGAGGGUGAGAAUCCCGUAUGCGACCGGCGCGCACCCUCCACGUAGCUCCUUCGACGAGUCGAGUUGUUUGGGAAUGCAGCUCUAAAUGGGAGGUAAAUUUCUUCUAAAGCUAAAUACCGGCCAGAGACCGAUAGCGCACAAGUAGAGUGAUCGAAAGAUGAAAAGCACUUUGGAAAGAGAGUUAAAAAGCACGUGAAAUUGUUGAAAGGGAAGCGCUUGCCACCAGACUUGACGGCGGGGUUCCGCCGGUCUUCUGACCGGUCCACUCCCCGCCGGCAGGCCAACAUCGUCUGGGGCCGCCGGAUAAGACGUCGGGAAUGUAGCUCCUCGGAGUGUUAUAGCCCGGCGUGAUGCGGCGCGCCCCGGGCGAGGUCCGCGCUUCGGCAAGGAUGUUGGCGUAAUGGUGGCCAGCGGCCCGUCUUGAAACACGGACCAAGGAGUCUAACAUCUAUGCGAGUGUUCGGGUGUCAAACCCCUACGCGAAAUGAAAGUGAACGGAGGUGGGAGCUUCGGCGCACCAUCGACCGAUCCUGAUGUCCUCGGAUGGAUUUGAGUAAGAGCAUAGCUGUUGGGACCCGAAAGAUGGUGAACUAUGCCUGAAUAGGGUGAAGCCAGAGGAAACUCUGGUGGAGGCUCGCAGCGGUUCUGACGUGCAAAUCGAUCGUCAAAUUUGGGUAUAGGGGCGAAAGACUAAUCGAACCAUCUAGUAGCUGGUUCCUGCC